AGUGAACGCUGGCGGUAGGCCUAACACAUGCAAGUCGAACGGCAGCACGGUAAGAGCUUGCUCUUACGGGUGGCGAGUGGCGGACGGGUGAGGAAUACAUCGGAAUCUACUUUUUCGUGGGGGAUAACGUAGGGAAACUUACGCUAAUACCGCAUACGACCUACGGGUGAAAGCAGGGGAUCUUCGGACCUUGCGCGAUUGAAUGAGCCGAUGUCGGAUUAGCUAGUUGGCGGGGUAAAGGCCCACCAAGGUGACGAUCCGUAGCUGGUCUGAGAGGAUGAUCAGCCACACUGGAACUGAGACACGGUCCAGACUCCUACGGGAGGCAGCAGUGGGGAAUAUUGGACAAUGGGCGCAAGCCUGAUCCAGCCAUACCGCGUGGGUGAAGAAGGCCUUCGGGUUGUAAAGCCCUUUUGUUGGGAAAGAAAAGCAGCAGGUUAAUACCCCGCUGUUCUGACGGUACCCAAAGAAUAAGCACCGGCUAACUUCGUG
rnacentral:rRNA from 1 species